AUUGAACGCUGGCGGCAGGCCUAACACAUGCAAGUCGAGCGGAUGAAGGGAGCUUGCUCCUGGAUUCAGCGGCGGACGGGUGAGUAAUGCCUAGGAAUCUGCCUGGUAGUGUGGGAUAACGUCCGGAAACGGGCGCUAAUACUGCAUACGUCCUGAGGGAGAAAGUGGGGGAUCUUCGGACCUUACGCUAUCAGAUGAGCCUAGGUCGGAUUAGCUAGUUGGUGGGGUAAAGGCCUACCAAGGCGACGAUCCGUAACUGGUCUGAGAGGAUGGUCAGUCACACUGGAACUGAGACGCGGUCCAGACUCCUACGGGAGGCAGCAGUGGCGAAUAUUGGACAAAGGGCGAAAGCCUGAUCCAGCCGUGCCGCGUGUGUGAAGAAGGUCUUCGGAUUGUAAAGCACUUUAAGUUGGGAGGAAGGGCAGUAAGUUAAUACCUUGCUGUUUUGACGUUACCAACAGAAUAAGCACCGGCUAACUUCGUG
rnacentral:rRNA from 1 species